UGUAAACAUGUCGGCUACAGCUGUUUGACAGUUGAGAAGCUGAAGACAGAGUUGCGAUGCAGUGGAGCAGCGGCACGCGGAGGAAGAUCGAUUUGAUUGAAAGAUUGGAGUCCUACGACAGGAAUAAUAACUUCUACCACUGAGAAGGUGACAUAAAGUUACCAAAGCCUGUAUGAUUUGAAUCAUUGCCAGUCACUAGGGUUCCAGCAACUGAUGCCAUCACACAAAGACAGGUUGUCGCCCAUGGCCUCUUCAGAUGUCGAGGCAUAUUUUAGAUACGGGUUAGCUGUAGAUAAUGAAGAGACUGCAGAUUUGAGAAGGGACAUCAACUUUUGAAAUCCAAUCAUGUCCUGGCUUGCAGUGUUGUCAUUGAUCACCAUGCCUACUUCAGUAGUCAGUGCUGCUUUGAAGAAAA
rnacentral:lncRNA from 1 species